AUAUUAGUAAUGGGCGAAAGCCUGAACUAGCAACGCCGCGUGUGCGAAGAAGGCCUUCGGGUUGUAAAGCACUUUUUGAGAGGAUGAGGAAGGACGGUACUCUCAGAAUAAGUCUCGGCUAACUACGUGCCAGCAGCCGCGGUAACACGUAGGAGGCAAACGUUAUCCGGAUUUACUGGGCGUAAAGCGCGUGUAGGUGGUUUGGUAAGUAGGGCGUGAAAGCUCCUGGCUCAACUGGGAGAGGACGUUCUAAACUGCCAAGCUUGAGGAUGGUAGAGGGAGGGGGGAUUCCGGGUGUAGCGGUGGAAUGCGCAGAUAUCCGGAGGAACACCAGUGGCGAAGGCGGCCUGCUGGACCACUCCUGACACUCAGACGCGAAAGCUAGGGUAGCAAACGG
rnacentral:rRNA from 1 species